GGCUCCAUAGUGUAGUGGUUAGCACGUCUGCUUUACAUGCAGAAGGUCCUGAGUUCACACCCCAGGUGGAGCCA
rfam:Pteropus alecto contig81609, whole genome shotgun sequence.